CUCAGGUACAGUAUGAGGCAACAAGCUGUCACCUGCCCUUGUGGAUCAUAAAGAAGAGCGUGAUAAGGUGUGGUGAGGCAGGCACUUCGAAAUAACCAUGGGCUGGUGUUACAGCUGUCAAGCUCGCUUUGGGUUCCGUACACGCGGAAGUAGGCCACCAAACUUAUACUGUCGGUAUCCAACAUUUAUUACCUAAUCCUCCCCUAAUAGAAACUGUUAGGUCUUGGUUGCCCUUG
rnacentral:lncRNA from 1 species